CAGCUCGUGUCGUGAGAUGUUGGGUUAAGUCCCGCAACGAGCGCAACCCUCGCCUUCAGUUGCCAGCGGGUUGGGCCGGGCACUCUGAAGGAACUGCCGGUGACAAGCCGGAGGAAGGUGGGGAUGACGUCAAGUCCUCAUGGCCCUUAUGUCCUGGGCUACACACGUGCUACAAUGGCGGUGACAGUGGGAGGCCAGGCCGCGAGGCCGCGCCGAUCCCGAAAAGCCGUCUCAGUUCAGAUUGCACUCUGCAACUCGGGUGCAUGAAGGCGGAAUCGCUAGUAAUCGCGGAUCAGCAUGCCGCGGUGAAUACGUUCCCGGGCCUUGUACA
rnacentral:rRNA from 1 species